rnacentral:rRNA from 1 species
UAGUGGAGCCGUAGGGAAACCGAGUCUUAAUAGGGCGUUUAGUUGCUGGGAAUAGACCCGAAACCGGGCGAUCUAUCCAUGAGCAGGUUGAAGGUUGAGUAACAUCAACUGGAGGACCGAACCCACAUCCGUUGAAAAGGCUGGGGAUGACUUGUGGAUAGGAGUGAAAGGCUAAUCAAGCUCGGAGAUAGCUGGUUCUCCUCGAAAGCUAUUUAGGUAGCGCCUCGUAUCUCACCAUUGGGGGUAGAGCACUGUUUGGGCUAGGGGGUCAUCCCGACUUACCAACCCCAUGCAAACUCCGAAUACCAAUGAGUGCAAUUACGGGAGACACACAGCGGGUGCUAACGUCCGUUGUGGAAAGGGAAACAACCCAGACCGUCAGCUAAGGUCCCAAAGUUACAGUUAAGUGGGAAACGAUGUGGGAAGGCUUAGACAGCUAGGAGGUUGGCUUAGAAGCAGCCAUCCUUUAAAGAAAGCGUAAUAGCUCACUAGUCGAGUCGGCCUGCGCGGAAGAUAUAACGGGGCUCAAACUGUACACCGAAGCUACGGAUGCUUAAUUUAUUAGGCAUGGUAGAGGAGCGUUCUGUAAGCCGUUGAAGGUCAAGCUGUAAGGCAGGCUGGAGGUAUCAGAAGUGCGAAUGUUGACAUGAGUAACGAUAAGGGGAGUGAAAAACUCCCCCGCCGGAAGACCAAGGUUUCCUGUCCCAUGUUAAUCAGGGCAGGGUGAGUCGGCCCCUAAGGCGAGGCAGAAAUGCGUAGUCGAUGGAAAACAGGUUAAUAUUCCUGUACCGAUGUAUAUUGCGAUGGAGAGACGGAGAAGGCUAGGCCAGCACAGCGAUGGUUGUCUGUGUUUAAGGCGGUAGGCAAGUGACUUAGGCAAAUCCGGGUCACUCUUUUAGAGAGAAUGCCGAGAACUGAUGACGAGCCCUCUUUUGGGCGAAGUGGUUGAUGCCAUGCUUCCAGGAAAAACUUCUAAGCUUCAGAUAUACAUUGACCGUACCCCAAACCGACACAGGUGGUCAGGUAGAGAAUACCAAGGCGCUUGAGAGAACUCGGGUGAAGGAACUAGGCAAAAUGGUACCGUAACUUCGGGAGAAGGUACGCCGGCCGGUGUGAAGGACUUGCUCCGUAAGCACUAGUCGGUCGAAGAUACCAGGUGGCUGCGACUGUUUAUUAAAAACACAGCACUCUGCAAACACGAAAGUGGACGUAUAGGGUGUGACGCCUGCCCGGUGCUUGAAGGUUAAUUGAUGGGGUUAGCGCAAGCGAAGCUCUUGAUCGAAGCCCAAGUAAACGGCGGCCGUAACUAUAACGGUCCUAAGGUAGCGAAAUUCCUUGUCGGGUAAGUUCCGACCUGCACGAAUGGCGUAACGAUGGCCACACUGUCUCCACCCGAGACUCAGUGAAAUUGAAAUCGCAGUGAAGAUGCUGUGUAUCCGCGGCUAGACGGAAAGACCCCGUGAACCUUUACUAUAGCUUCACAGUGAACUUUGAACCUACUUGUGUAGGAUAGGUGGGAGGCUUUGAAGUGCAGACGCCAGUUUGCAUGGAGCCACUCUUGAAAUACCACCCUGGUAUGUUUGAGGUUCUAACUCAGGUCCCUUAUCGGGAUCGAGGACACUGUGUGGUGGGUAGUUUGACUGGGGCGGUCUCCUCCCAAAGAGUAACGGAGGAGCACGAAGGUGUGCUCAGCAUGGUCGGAAAUCAUGCAUAGAGUGUAAAGGCAAAAGCACGCUUAACUGCGAGACAGACACGUCGAGCAGGUACGAAAGUAGGUCUUAGUGAUCCGGUGGUUCUGUAUGGAAGGGCCAUCGCUCAACGGAUAAAAGGUACUCCGGGGAUAACAGGCUGAUACCGCCCAAGAGUUCACAUCGACGGCGGUGUUUGGCACCUCGAUGUCGGCUCAUCACAUCCUGGGGCUGAAGCCGGUCCCAAGGGUAUGGCUGUUCGCCAUUUAAAGUGGUACGCGAGCUGGGUUUAGAACGUCGUGAGACAGUUCGGUCCCUAUCUGCCGUGGACGUUUGAGAUUUGAGAGGAGCUGCUCCUAGUACGAGAGGACCGGAGUGGACGAACCUCUGGUGUUCCGGUUGUCACGCCAGUGGCAUUGCCGGGUAGCUAUGUUCGGACGGGAUAACCGCUGAAAGCAUCUAAGCGGGAAGCCUCCCUUAAGAUAAGAUCUCACUGGGACAUAAGUCCCCUGAAGAGCCGUUCGAGACUAGGACGUUGAUAGGUUGGGUGUGUAAGUGCUGUGAGGCAUUGAGCUAACCAAUACUAAUUGCUCGUGAGGCUUGACCAUAUAACACCAAAG